UGGGGAAUUUUGGACAAUGGGCGAAAGCCUGAUCCAGCAAUGCCGCGUGUGUGAAGAAGGCCUUCGGGUUGUAAAGCACUUUUGUCCGGAAAGAAAUCCUUGGCUCUAAUACAGUCGGGGGAUGACGGUACCGGAAGAAUAAGCACCGGCUAACUACGUGCCAGCAGCCGCGGUAAUACGUAGGGUGCAAGCGUUAAUCGGAAUUACUGGGCGUAAAGCGUGCGCAGGCGGUCCGCUAAGACAGAUGUGAAAUCCCCGGGCUUAACCUGGGAACUGCAUUUGUGACUGGCGGGCUAGAGUAUGGCAGAGGGGGGUAGAAUUCCACGUGUAGCAGUGAAAUGCGUAGAGAUGUGGAGGAAUACCGAUGGCGAAGGCAGCCCCCUGGGCCAAUACUGACGCUCAUGCACGAAAGCGUGGGGAGCAAACAGGAUUCAGAUACCCUGGUAGUCCACGCCCUAACGAUGUCAACUAGUUGUCGGUCUUCAUUGACUUGGUACGUAGCUAACGCGUGAAGUUGACCGCCUGGGGAGUACGGUCGCAAGAUUAAAACU
rnacentral:rRNA from 1 species